rnacentral:rRNA from 1 species
AACGCGAAGAACCUUACCUACCCUUGACAUCCUCGGAACCUAACAGAGACGUUAGGGUGCCUUCGGGAACCGAGAGACAGGUGCUGCAUGGCUGUCGUCAGCUCGUGUCGUGAGAUGUUGGGUUAAGUCCCGUAACGAGCGCAACCCUUAUCCUUAGUUGCCAACAGGUAAAGCUGGGAACUCUAGGGAGACUGCCGGUGACAAGCCGGAGGAAGGUGGGGACGACGUCAAGUCAUCAUGGCCCUUACGGGUAGGGCUACACGCGUGUUACAAUGGACGGUACAAAGGGCAGCGAAGCUGCAAAGUGGAGCGAAUCUUAUCAAAGCCGUUCGUAGUCCGGAUUGGAGUCUGCAACUCGACUCCAUGAAGUUGGAAUCGCUAGUAAUCGUGGAUCAGAACGCCACGGUGAAUACGUUCCCGGGCCUUGUACACACCGCACGA